rnacentral:rRNA from 1 species
GACAGAGGGUGCAAACGUUGUUCGGAAUUACUGGGCGUAAAGCGCGUGUAGGCUGCUUCGCAAGUCGGAUGUGAAAGCCCUGGGCUCAACCCAGGAAGUGCAUUCGAAACUGCAGAGCUGGAGUCCUGGAGAGGAAGGCGGAAUUCUCGGUGUAGAGGUGAAAUUCGUAGAUAUCGAGAGGAACACCGGUGGCGAAGGCGGCCUUCUGGACAGUGACUAACGCUGAGACGCGAAAGCGUGGGGAGCAAACAGG